UGGGGAAUUUUGGACAAUGGGCGAAAGCCUGAUCCAGCAAUGCCGCGUGUGUGAAGAAGGCCUUCGGGUUGUAAAGCACUUUUGUCCGGAAAGAAAUCCUUGGCUCUAAUACAGUCGGGGGAUGACGGUACCGGAAGAAUAAGCACCGGCUAACUACGUGCCAGCAGCCGCGGUAAUACGUAGGGUGCAAGCGUUAAUCGGAAUUACUGGGCGUAAAGCGUGCGCAGGCGGUUUGCUAAGACCGAUGUGAAAUCCCCGGGCUCAACCUGGGAACUGCAUUGGUGACUGGCAGGCUAGAGUAUGGCAGAGGGGGGUAGAAUUCCACGUGUAGCAGUGAAAUGCGUAGAGAUGUGGAGGAAUACCGAUGGCGAAGGCAGCCCCCUGGGCCAAUACUGACGCUCAUGCACGAAAGCGUGGGGAGCAAACAGGAUUAGAUACCCUGGUAGUCCACGCCCUAAACGAUGUCAACUAGUUGUUGGGGAUUCAUUUCCUUAGUAACGUAGCUAACGCGUGAAGUUGACCGCCUGGGGAGUACGGUCGCAAGGUUAAAACUCAAAUGAAUUGACGGGGUCAUAGCUGUUUCCU
rnacentral:rRNA from 1 species